rnacentral:rRNA from 1 species
CCUACGGGGGGCAGCAGUGAGGAAUAUUGGUCAAUGGCCGGAAGGCUGAACCAGCCAUGCCGCGUGAAGGUCAGUGCCCUUUGGGCGUUAAACCUCUUUAGGCGGGGAGCAAUGCCGGCACGCGUGCCCGGUGGGAGAGUACCCGCAGAAUAAGCAUCGGCUAACCCCGUUCCAGCAGCCGCGGUAAUACGGAGGAUUCGAGGGUUAUCGGGUUUUAUUGGGGUUAAGGGGUGCGUAGGCGGAUUUUUAAGUCGGCGGUAAAAUGUCCGGGCUAAACCCGGGCCUGUCGUUGAAACUGGGGAUCUUGAGUGGGCGAGAAGUAUGCGGAAUGCGUGGUGUAGCGGUGAAAUGCAUAGAUAUCACGCAGAACUCCGAUUGCGAAGGCAGCAUACCGGCGCCCGACUGACGCUGAGGCACGAAAGCGUGGGGAUCGAACAGGAUUAGAUACCCCAGUAGUC